UCUAUCUUCUAACUGAUUUGUCACUAUUCGUUCAGGACUGGAAGUUCCAUCGUGGAUCCCAACCGCUUUAGUACUCUUCUCAAUCAACAAAUUCUCAGGUUUGAAACCACCAGGAUCGACCAAAUCAUUACACAGUUCUUGUUGAGUUCCCAACCCUAAUUUGCCAUCUCGGUUACCUAGCUUUGAAGCCCCCAGAGAACUUUGAAUGGCAGACGAACAUUGAGAUUCAUCACUAGAGAGAGAGAGGAUUCGAGCAAGGGUACGUACAGUUCACUCUUAAGAUGAGACCGGUGACGAGGAGGA